GCAUUUAUAGUUUAAUCGGUUAAAACAGUAACUUGUGGCGUUACAGAUUAGAGGUUCAAAUCCUUUUAUUUGCC
rnacentral:tRNA from 1 species